rnacentral:rRNA from 1 species
UAAUUGAAGAGUUUGAUCAUGGCUCAGAUUGAACGCUGGCGGCAGGCCUAACACAUGCAAGUCGGGCGGUAACAGGGAGAAGCUUGCUUCUCUGCUGACGAGCGGCGGACGGGUGAGUAAUGUAUGGGGAUCUGCCUGAUGGCGGGGGAUAACUACUGGAAACGGUAGCUAAUACCGCAUAAUGUCUUCGGACCAAAGCGGGGGACCUCCGGGCCUCGCGCCAUCAGAUGAACCCAUAUGGGAUUAGCUAGUAGGU